rnacentral:tRNA from 1 species
GCGGGUGUGCCGGAGCGGUCAAACGGGACAGGCUUAGGACCUGUUAGCUUAGUGCUUACUUAGGUUCGAAUCCUAACACCCGCA